UACGAAGGGGGCUAGCGUUGCUCGGAAUUACUGGGCGUAAAGGGCGCGUAGGCGGAUAGUUUAGUCAGAGGUGAAAGCCCAGGGCUCAACCUUGGAACUGCCUUUGAUACUGGCUAUCUUGAGUUCGGGAGAGGUGAGUGGAAUGCCGAGUGUAGAGGUGAAAUUCGUAGAUAUUCGGCGGAACACCAGUGGCGAAGGCGACUCUUUGGCCUGUAACUGACGCUGAGGCGCGAAAGCUAGGGGAGCGAACAGG
rnacentral:rRNA from 1 species